rnacentral:rRNA from 1 species
UACGAAGGGGGCUAGGCGUUGUUCGGAUUUACUGGGCGUAAAGCGCACGUAGGCGGAUUGUUAAGUCAGGGGUGAAAGUCCUGGAGCUCAACUCCAGAACUGCCUUUGAUACUGGCAAUCUUGAGUCCGGAAGAGGUGAGUGGAACUCCUAGUGUAGAGGUGGAAUUCGUAGAUAUUAGGAAGAACACCAGUGGCGAAGGCGGCUCACUGGUCCGGUACUGACGCUGAGGUGCGAAAGCGUGGGGAGCAAAC